rnacentral:lncRNA from 1 species
UUUUUAGCCCAAAUCCUUUUCUCACCCAUAAAACCCUUCCCUUAAUCAUAGCCAUUGAUCCACUUUCAUCCAAGGUCCAAUAUUAAUUCCUCACCCCAAAUAAAAUCUAAUGAAUCUUGCCCAAAACAAAAAGAAUGACCUUAUUCCAAAAGCCAAGAGAAUGUGAAAAUGAUAGAUCCCUAAGCAAAGAGAUAGCCGCACCACCCUUGAAGAACCCUAACGCCAUUUCUGCUUCACUUUCCCCAAUAUUCACCAUUGACCCUAAAUGAAGUUUCAAAUCUCUAACUUAGCUAUCGAGUGAAAUUUUCAUUUGAUGAAAAUGUGGCAACCUUUUUAGUUCGAGGCAUUGUUAAACAAGCAUUUGAGAGCUAGGGAAAAGAGAAAACAUGCAUAGUAAAAGUAAGGGGCGGCGAUACUGCUGCUUCAUUUUUUUUUUUUUUGAAAAUUUGGGAUAAAAAUAAGGCUUCAAAGAAAUGGUUUUGUUCAUGUAUUUUAAUAUUUUAGCUCCUUUUCUGAUUUUCGAUUUCGAAAUUAUGGAAUCUGAUGGAGUUUGAGUGAGACCGUUGUUUCGAGGUUUCCGGCACCAAUUCGAGUUCUUGUUCGUUGUUCGUCAUAUUUUUGAGUUCAAAGCAGUGAAGCAAUUAAUUUUUGGCUAUAUUGAGAUUCAUUUCAUAUAACUAUCUCAUUAUGACAGUUGAUGAAUUGUGUAAUUGUUUGAUGGAAUGAUAUUUUAGUGCAUUUUAUUGAGCUUGAAUUGCUGAAUUUGGUUAUUUCUUUGCUUCAUGAGAUUAUGGUUUGGAAAUUUUUAUUUUUACAAGUAAUAAAAAUAAAUUAUGAUUUGAUGAUUAUCCUGUUAUGACUAGCAUAGGCAUAAUUGUUUAAAUGUUGGUUGUUGCUUAGUAAUUGUUUAGAUUCUGUUAAGUACAAACGUGAUCCCUUUAGUUGUGAAUUCAGCAAGUGCUCCUGUAAGUGCAUCAUUAGUCAUUUCAAUAGCAACAAAUGAUAUUUAAAGAGAAAUGUUUAUUGGUUGUGUCUCAUCAAUGUUAUACUGUAGAUUGAUUGUGUAUAGCUGGAAAUUCACCAGCGAACUUGGGAUUCAUGUGUUCCUCAAACAAUUUCUGUCAUAAUCAUAUGCAAAUUAGUAUGUUCUUCUCCCCAAUAAUAGUUUGUCCAUAAAUUUAGCAUCAUAACAAUGUCAAAAUGUUCUGUGGGUAUGAAAAUGUUCUGAGGGUAUGAAACCCCGGAUUGCACAGCAUCGUGCUAUAUUGAGGUGAUGCACACACUAGAUGACGAGUGUGGGGCCGUGCACUGUUGGGGAUUGUGACUUAGUCCAUUCCAAAUGACUAAUUUUCUAUAUAUUUGGUAGCUAAUUGUUUGAUAUUAUUAUAAUUUGGGGUAAAUGUCAUAUUUGGGCUACAUGCUAACUCUUUGAACCCAUAUGAGAUUAUUAAUGAUAUUUUCCUCACUGUUUGAUUUUAUACUUGUGCUCAGUCAUGAUAUAUUUUUAAUAUUUUAAAUACUUAGCUAUGUUAUUCUAUCUUAAGCAUAUUAAUUGAUAUUUUCAAAGAUAUUUGGGUUGAGCUUCAUAUUUUACUGAUGCCCGAGGGGCUUUUGAGAUCCUGACUGAGUAAGGUCGAGGGCCUGUAUUGUGAGGAUACUUUUGGGUCGAGUUGCACAUCGCAGCAGUGAUAUACUGAUUUUGAUAAUGAGGACAAGGGCCUGAGAUUGUGUGCCGCGAGGUGGCUUGAUAUUGAUAUGAGGCCGAAAGCCUAUCUAUGAUGCCACAAGAUGGCUUGAUAUUGUGCUUGGGUAGUAAGGGGUCCCUCCAGGAGUCUGCACAACCCCUGUGAGCGCAGUUACCCAUUAUGAUGUGAGAUAUAGACCGAGGGGCUGGUAUUGUCAUGAGAUAUUGCCCGAGGGGCGGAUUUGUUGACAGUGUACCCGAGGGGCGAACCUUUAUAUACUUAUCUUUCUUAUUUACCUGUCACGUGCCUGUUUAAUUAUGAAAUUGUGCCCAAGAGGUGGAUCUUCUAUGCUUAUCUGUUCUAAUUGCUUUGCAUUCAAUUGCUUAACUGUUGAAAAUUCAUUUUUGUAGAAGUUUAAACUGCGCUAAGGUGCUGAAGAAGUUUACUGCCUCUAUACAACAUGUUGAUGU